CCUGCAAAUCUUUUCCUUAUCUCUCAAAACCCGAACUCCUCCUGUUCCUUUGCUCUAAACUUCUCUCUCUUUCUCUGUGGUUCCAGUCUUCUGUCUCCUUGGUUAUAUAUUAGAAAGCAGAGCCAUUGACAAAAGUCAUUUUUCUUCUUCAAUCUAUUAAAUCUAUUUUUCUUUUUUAAUUUCAAUACAAAAAGUUCUAGAUAAACAGUGAAAACCCUAGAUCCUCUUUGCAUGAUUUGAUCCGGUUAAUUACAAUCGCGGACAUGGAACGCAUCGUCGGUGGUAAAUAUAAGCUCGGCCGCAAGAUCGGCAGUGGAUCCUUCGGCGAAAUCUUUCUCGCUACACACAUCGACACGUUCGAGAUCGUUGCUGUUAAGAUUGAAAACAAUAAAACGAAGCAUCCGCAACUUCUGUACGAAGCUAAGUUAUACAAUAUUCUUCAGGGAGGAAGUGGAAUUCCCGGAAUAAAAUGGUCUGGUGUAGACGGGGAGGACAAUGUCCUUGUCCUUGAUCUUCUUGGGCCAAGUCUUGAGGAUUUGUUUGUGUAUUGUGGGAGGAAAUUCUCACUGAAGACAGUGCUAAUGUUGGCUGAUCAAAUGAUUACAAGAAUAGAAUAUGUGCACUCCAAAGGAUUUCUGCAUAGAGAUAUAAAACCUGAUAACUUCCUCAUGGGUCUUGGACGGAAAGCAAAUCAGGUAUACAUAAUUGAUUUUGGGCUCGCCAAAAGAUACCGCGAUGCCGCAACUAACCGCCAUAUCCCAUACAGGGAAAACAAGAACCUAACUGGAACUGCACGUUAUGCAAGUUGCAAUACUCAUCUUGGAAUUGAGCAAAGUCGUCGAGAUGAUCUGGAAUCACUUGGAUAUGUACUUCUUUAUUUUCUUAGAGGAAGCCUUCCGUGGCAGGGUCUUAAAGCUGCCACAAAGAAGCAGAAAUAUGACAAAAUUUGUGAGAAAAAACUAUCGACUCCUAUUGAGGUUCUGUGCAAAUCACAUCCUGUGGAGUUUGCAUCGUACUUCCAUUAUUGCCAUUCGUUAACAUUUGAUCAGCGACCUGAUUAUGGAUUCUUGAAGCGCUUGUUUCGUGAUUUGUUUGCCCAUGAAGGAUAUGAAUCUGACUAUAUCUUUGAUUGGACUAUAAUCAAGUACCAGCAGUCACAAAAAAAUAGAACUCAAACUCGAUUAUCACCAGUUCCUGGGGGUAGCAGUAACCAUGCAAUGCUUAUGGAUAUGGACAAUCAUCAUCAAGGAAGCAGCAAUGCUCCCCAUGUAGCUGAGGUCAGUGAGCACAUUAGAUCAAAUAAUGCUACUGGUCCUGCAAUACGAAUGCAAUUUAGAUCCACGAUGGGGAAGAAUUUGGGAUUGGAUCAUCCUGUUGAGAAAAAUAUUAGUGGUCACAUGCCAUCUACUGCAUUUUCACUUGCUGGUACCUCAAAAAGAAACUCCUCUAAACCUGCUGAAGCUGCAAAUCCUACGUAUGGGCAGAGUAAUAAAGUUGGUCCCUCAAGUAGCUGGAUUUCAUCCUUGCAGCGCAUUUCUUCGGCUAAGUGAUGCAAAUGCUGUGGAUCUGAUCAAGAAGAUUGUAAUCAUACAUCUAUGGAGUCAGCAAAUAUAUGGUGAUUCUAUGUCUGGUUGAGAACUUUUUAGAGAGGCAUUUAUGGAGGCUGCUAAUGAGCUGCUAAAUUCAAGAGUUGUAUAGUCCUCUCUGGAUGCCGUUUUGUGUGUUUUUUUCCUUAAGGGUUCUUUUCUCCCUACACUGUUGUCUACAGGGUGAAAAAUGACCGGGAAUACUUAUUAGGAACGGCAUUUGAAGACUAUUUUCUUUUGGAUGCUAACCAUCUGUGAUCAACUGAGGGGCUCUGCCUAAUAGCUGACCAGGGACCACAUUCCGGAGAGACUCUUUAAUUUUUGGCAUCCAUUGUAUAUGGGAUGUUUAGUUCCAUAGAAAUUCAGCAUCUGCAUACCGCAUUUCUUGCACGAAUACACUCUUUCAAGGAAAUGGCUUCUGCUCCAUGAUGGUUGUGGUAAGGUUGUUAGUAAAAUGCUUAGGGGCUAGACAAGCAGCUCUCGUGGCUCAUUACUCCAUAAUUGACAGAGUUGGCGAUGGGAGAAGUAGAGGGGCUAACUGGUGAGUGAUGUGUUGAUGCUACUUGAGUUCUGGGUCUUUAUUAACUAUCUGGGUGUGAUGUCAGGAGCAGUUACUUUAUCCCGGUAACUCAUUCUAAUGGGAAUUGCAUUUGCUCUCUAAAGUUUCUGUUGAUGGUUGCUUUGUUAUAUAGAAAAAUAUGUUGGACAUGCAAGGAUGAUCUCAAUGUGAUGCUUGUCAAAGUGACUAUGGUUUGUGGGAGAGUCCUCAUUUGCAGUUGUCUGAUUGUGGAUGAUUGCAUAUAUAAAGAUGAGGCAGUUUCACCCAAAUUUGACACUUUGUGGUCUUUUGUGAAUUUUGUAAAAGUAUAGAUGGAGCUGUAUUGUUGCGCUUAUCAUAGUGGACUUGCAGGGUCUUUAACAGUUGCGGUCUUUUGUCAGUGGUAGAUGUACUGGGCUCUCUUUGAUUAUAGUUUCGGUGUUAGGUUCUGAUUUAUCACUUUAAUCCUAAUAAGGAGGAAAUGAACAGAAGACGGGUCUUGUUGUGUUGGAAGACAGAAAUGGAAAAGAUACCGCAAAGUUAUUUCAACAUGUUAUUUUCUCCACGUCAAUGCAGGUGCUGCAAUUCUGGACUUACUAUGAAAUAGUCGGUGCAUGUUAAGGUGCACCAUUGCCUCUGGACAGCAAACUUCAUUUGUUUCUAUUGCAAGCAUGUAUUUUCAGGUCAAUAUAUUUUUGCAUGCGUUGAGAGUUACUUCAGCUUCUCAACGCAAGAUAUAGGGGUCAUCUGAUCUGGCUGCAGUGGGAAGAAUUUCUAUGUUUGUGCAUGGUGGUUUGCUAUCUCAAAUUUCUCGCAAUCUUAUUCAGAAAAGAGAUUAGGUAUUGCUAGAUUCAGAGAGUUUAACGUGAGUUUUAAGACUUUUAUUGGGUCUCAUAGUUUGAAAUAAGCAUUAAUAUUUCCGGGGAUC